GUUGUCUGAUUCUUUUCAAUUAGAUUAACUUCUACUACGUUAAAUUGCUGGCGAACUGAAUCAACUUUCUAUAAUAAGUCUAAUAAAUUACUAUUCUUGUCGACACAAUUACGGCACACAUUGUUAGAGAAACAACUGUUCAGAUUCAAUAAGUUUUUACAUGCACUUGUUUUGUCGAUACAUUGAACCAUUAGUCAUAGCAUAGAUUUCGGCG